rnacentral:rRNA from 1 species
UACGGAGGGUGCAAGCGUUGUCCGGAAUCACUGGGCGUAAAGCGCACGUAGGCGGUUCGUUAUGUCGGAUGUGAAAGCCCUUGGCUUAACCGAGGAAGUGCAUCCGAAACUGGCGAGCUAGAGUACGAAAGAGGAUCGCGGAAUUCCCGGUGUAGAGGUGAAAUUCGUAGAUAUCGGGAGGAACACCGGUGGCGAAGGCGGCGAUCUGGGUCGAUACUGACGCUGAGGUGCGAAAGCGUGGGGAGCAAACAGG